AACCGUGUACGUACAAGCAGUGGGAGCACAGGUUUACCUGUGUGACUGCGUACCUUUUGUAUAAUGGGUCAGCGACUUAUAUUCUGUAGCAAGGUUAACCGCAUAGGGGAGCCGGAGGGAAACCGAGUCUUAAUUGGGCGUUAAGUUGCAGGGUAUAGACCCGAAACCCGGUGAUCUAGCCAUGGGCAGGUUGAAGGUUGGGUAACACUAACUGGAGGACCGAACCGACUAAUGUUGAAAAAUUAGCGGAUGACCUGUGGCUGGGGGUGAAAGGCCAAUCAAACCGGGAGAUAGCUGGUUCUCCCCGAAAGCUAUUUAGGUAGCGCCUCGUGAAUUCAUCUCCGGGGGUAGAGCACUGUUUCGGCUAGGGGGCCAUCCCGGCUUACCAACCCGAUGCAAACUGCGAAUACCGGAGAAUGUUAUCACGGGAGACACACGGCGGGUGCUAACGUCCGUCGUGAAGAGGGAAACAACCCAGACCGCCAGCUAAGGUCCCAAAGUCAUGGUUAAGUGGGAAACGAUGUGGGAAGGCCCAGACAGCCAGGAUGUUGGCUUAGAAGCAGCCAUCAUUUAAAGAAAGCGUAAUAGCUCACUGGUCGAGUCGGCCUGCGCGGAAGAUGUAACGGGGCUAAACCAUGCACCGAAGCUGCGGCAGCGACACUGUGUGUUGUUGGGUAGGGGAGCGUUCUGUAAGCCUG
rnacentral:rRNA from 1 species